CAAACAAUGAAAAUAAAAAGAUAAUUUAAAUUAUUUUCCUCUCCUCCAUUCUCUUCUUCCAACCAAACACCACCUUAAAGGGAAAAGAGAUGAAUUUGUCACCAAAUAACAUGCUUAGUUAAUCGACAAGGAAAUUAAAUAGAGAAGAAGCAGCGUCAAAAUUGUAAAUUAUAAAACCUAAUGGAGCGAGGAAUUAAUAGAGAAGAAGUAGUAUCGAUGCAUAAAUGAUAUACGAGUUCUAAAUAUCAUGAAUUUACUAAAACAUGCAAAUUAAAAAUAAUAUUUUAUAAUAAAAUUCUUCUACUCUAAAUAAGGAAAACAAAACAAAUGGCAUCUAAAUCCAAUAUUUAAAAAAAAAGAAAAAAAAUCCUGAAAUCUAUAGGAAAAAUAGAGAGAACAAAUACUUAGAAUAACAAAAUGACCAGAAAAGAAACAAAAUUUCUAGAUCAACCACAUGUUGUUCUAAGUUUGGUUCAUCUUGUCACAAGAUUCAAAAUGAUAUAUUAUAUGUCUAAAACAAAUACCUGUAGCCGACUUUCCACAUCUGUAAAAUACACUACUCAUUCUACGUAACCAACCUAUAUCAUAUAUAUGCCUUCAAAACAACAUGAGCCGUUGGCUAUCUCAUUGUAAACUCUUAAUACCCCAACACCAAUUCCAACUAAAGUUGUGAAAAAUAAGAAAUUAUACAAAUUGGGAUAUCAAGAGUUUACAGCGAGAAUAGCCAAACAGCUCAGGAUGUUCAAAGCAUAUAUUCAUGAUCUCCUGCUUCAGCUAAUUAAUUUUUCAAAUGGGUAGCAGGUUUGGAAGGAAAAAAGAAAAGUUUUC
rnacentral:lncRNA from 1 species